GAAUUUUUAUACAAGUCUUUAUUUACAACUUGUUUAACAACUGUACACUUUUUGCAGCCUUGAAAACAUUUUUGUACUUGAAUGGGAAAAUAUAGUUUGACCAAAUCUUAACUUUAUUCUUAUUUCUUUCUGAGGCUCUCUAACAAGUCAUCUACCUCAGAGAAACAGUGAGAAAACUCACGAAUCUAACAGAGUCAACGACUGGCAAACAGGUGCGACAUUGCUCGGAUGCAUUUUUGUACGAAGUUGCUAAAACUGCACUGAUUCAGUGUUCACUGUGAGGUGAAAAAUUUAGUCCUACAUGGUUUUCCUUUUUGGAUUACAAUGACUCAGAAUGAAAUUGUGAAAUUA
rnacentral:lncRNA from 1 species